rnacentral:rRNA from 1 species
AUGGGUGAAAUUCCCCUAGGUAUAGGCCGCCUAUCCAAUCUAAGAAAAGUAUGGCCUUCCUCAAAUAAUCUCACUGGAACAAUCCCACCAAGCCUAAGAAACAAUAGUCAGCUUGAAGACAUCGUGCUUACUAAUAAUAAGCUCACGGGAACCAUUCCUGAUGAGAUUGGAAUUUUCCCAUCUCUUGUUUAUCUAGACCUUGCUGGAAAUAUGCUAUCAGGUGGAAUUCCAGAAACCUUGUACAAAUACAAUCAGUCUUCUGUCCAAUUUUUGGGGCUUCCUCCCAAUAGAGCUUGGCGGCUUAAAGCAGCUCACCCAUCUGGAUCUGUCUGA